GAAGUUAGUGCUACUGCACUCUUAGGCCAACAUCAACUUCAUGUAGUAAUACAUGGAAAAUCUUUGUUCUUAAAACCUAUUGCACUGCACAGUAUAUGCAAUAUUCGUGAGACAGAAGAAAUGGAAUCAGGUGAAAUCAGUUGUUUGUCAAAGUAGGAAGUAGCACAAUCAGGUGUGGUACAUGUCCCCACUUAGCAAUCACUGCAUGUUUAAAUCACUUGUGUUGCAGGUAAAUGCUUUAGGGUACAGUGGCACUGCCAUCAUCCAUAUUGAGUCUCUUUUUGAUAACACAGCAGAUCUACUGAAGUCUUUGUAAAGGGACAUACAAGAAAUACUAAAGAGGGCUUGUUUCGGCUUUCGUGUUGCUUUGCCUUUGGCUGCAAUGGAGGACCAAGAAGCAAUGCAUUGUAAUUGUGGUGGUUUGCUGUGGUGUAGCAAUUUAAAACCUCUCCAAACUGAAUGUUUCUCGAGUUAACAAGCGUUUGACUUGGAGGGGGAAAAAAUUCCAUUAAGAUAUCUCUGUUAGGGCAGAGUUUGUGAAGAAACACAUAAGCUUUCUCCUGAACACGUAAGUUCAGGGGGGUGUUCAACAUAUGCUUAACUUCAAGCAUGUAACUAAUUAGUAGUGUCAUUGAAACUAUUCCUGAGCCUAAUUCAAAUUACAUGCUCUAAUGACUGACUGAGUCUAAAGCAGAAAGGGCAGCAGGCACAACAAAGAAAUUCAUCAUGGUUUUGGUAGAAGUCACAGCAACUCUUGCACUUCACUGUAGCGUGUGCAAACUCUUUAAACCAUUUCUCUGCCGUGUAGAUAACAGAAAACCCUUCCAUGCAAGACGUACACACACAGUGUGGUAAAUUGACUGCAAAUAUUUUGGGUUUUGUUUGUUUAGAAGACUACAGUUUUUGAAAUCUUAAGGUAGUUUAUGCAUAGUAAGAAGCAUGUAUAUCAAAUCUCCACUCACGUUUGUGACUGCAGUUGAUGGCCUUAAAAGGAACUGAGUCUGGAUCAAUACCUGGAUUGGUAUGCUGUUAGACUGCUCCAAAAGAAACAAAGUAUGUACUGUGAGUAACCAUAUUAGAUUAAAAAAGAAAAUCAAAAGUCAUGUUCUCAGAGAUAGAAGCAGUCAACUGAGAUGCUGUGAUUACAGUUACGUGGCAUGUACAGAUAAUAUGAGACAGCCUUCUGCCUUCUUGAUUUGCUUACAUUACUUCCAGUUAAUUUUGGGCAACUUCCCACAACUUUAUAUGAAAUUUCCAAGUGAUAGAGAUCUCAUCUUCCACUGCCUGCAGGCAGUGUUCCUAAGUAAGUAAACAGAAAUGAUCAUAAGGGAGCGGAAUUCACUUGACUAAUAUUUGCUUCAGUCUUGAUGGUCAGGGUGCUGUGCUUGCAGGUGGGGAGGAGGUGGCAAGGGAGAGCUGCUUAUGGAAAGUGCUAAAAUGGAUGUUCUUAAAUAAAAUUUUGUUAGUCAAAGAAAAUAGUCUGUGAAAUGCUGCAGGGGGCAUGGAGAGGAGAAAGGUUGUUGCACUCCUGUAGAGUUUAAGAAGUAAAUUCUUAUGCAGAAGCGAUAUGACAUAAGAAUUAUGUUUUAUUGCAGCUUUCAAUGGUAAGUGAAGUAUUGAAUUUACAGACUUUUCUUUAUAUUGGAUAAACUGACAUGAAUGACAUCCUGUCUGAUCAUUGCCAAUGCAUAGUAGUUCAAUAUAUGCUUGUGUUUUAGUACAUACUCUUCAGAAUUCUAGUCAGCUUUUGCCUUACCGGAGGGUUUGUGUAUUUAAAACCAUUUAACAGAUUUUUGAAUAAACAAAAUGUGUCCGUCAGCUGAUAAUACUUUAUUUCCAAUAUUUUUGUGUGCAUGCCAUUUACACUUCAUUGCAGAGGGUGCCUCUAAAGACCCUGCAGUCAUAAUGGAAGAUAAAAAAUGUAUUUUAACAAAGAGCAGAAAAUAUUAUACAAAGCAAUAAUGAUAUAAAUACUUGGAAUGGCAAUAGGGAAAUCUGUGGAGAAGAAAACACUGGUGAGGCUUUGUGGAUGUCCACAGUCGGAACAGUGUCGUUUGGAAAGAUCUUAACAUUUCAUUCUGGUGCUUUGUACAAUGACAGUGUGAUAGGGGGUCAAAUGUAGGGGUUUAUUCUCAAUAUAUAUUUCUGUUAUUGUGUAGAAAACUAGGUGAGACUUUAUUUGUAGUUGUGUGUGUGUAUAAAUGUUUAUACAUGUCUAUUUAUUGAUAAUGAAGGGGAGAUCAUGUUUACUUGUAGUGUGUUUGGCCAUGGUUGUUGCUUUUGCUGGCUCCUGACUUAAGUUUAUAAGUGCUGCCUUUUAUCUUUUCUGGACUUCUCAUGCUCUUUUCAAGAGAAAAUACAUGCAAACAUUCUCCUUCUGCAUUAUUUUACAUUUAGUAACUAGGAGUAUGUCAUAUUUUAGACAGCUAGGUAAUUAGAUUGAGUAUCUUUUAAUUUGAAGGCUUUUUUUUUUUAUUUUUCAAUUUUUUAUUUAUUUUAUUUUAAGUAUUUCCUGUAACUAAACAAGAUACACAAAGCUAUUAUAUGUAGCUGUAAUAGGGAAGGACAGCUUUUUUCAAAUACUGUCCUUGGUGUGAGUUAGAGUAGGUGAGCACAGAAGAGAAGGUGAAUCUGCUGUUUCUGCUGGUGCAGUGGACAAAUGUGUAGGUAUUUCAAGCCUGGUAUAUGGUUAACUCUCUCGUUUCCUUCAAUGAAUAAAAUGGAUUCAUUGAUAGCAGUGAAUGGGCUGUUAUCAGGAGCGUUCUUCUCAUGAAUUGUUAAAAGGUGGAGCGAGAUGUGAUCCGGUGGAAGCUGCAGUCUUGGUAUCAGGAGUGCUACUUUUAGAAAGGCUGAGUCAACAAACUUAUAAUUCGCAAGCGAUCAAAGGACACACGUUUUUAACCUUGGUAUGAUUUCUUUUCUCUCAUCCUGUCAUAGCUGUCCUCCAGACUGUAGUGUCAUAUUUUACAGACUAUGUUUAGUUUCUUCAUUAAAGCUCAAACAUGAACUACAUGGUUUGAGGUAGUCAGGACAAAUGAGUGGCUUUUAGGGUCUACAGAUAUAUCAGGUUUGUCUGAAAAUUCCCUUGGUUCUUUUUGUCCCUCUUUGUAAUUUGCAGUUUGUCCAGAGCUCUCGUUCCUUUUUGUAUUAAGAGGAGCAAGUAGCAGAUAAUCCAGUUUUAGUAUGAGGUUGAGAUCCACAGUAUCCACAAAUCCCUAAGAGCAGUGUUUGAUUUGGUUAUGGGUAGUCAGGCUGCUAGGCAGAUGGUCUCAGCAAAUGGUAUCUUUGCAAUGAAGAAAAGGCUGCCUUGGAUGGAUUGAUUGGUUUACUUAUUUAUUUUUUUGUUUAUUUAUAGAGCUUUGUGGUUUGGCUCACAGCCAACAAUGUUUCCCGUUUCUGGUUUUGACUUACACCCAGUUACUUUUCAGUCUGCGUCCUCUGCACUCUAACUAAAUGGUGUGUGCCAGGCAACAUCAAGAGCAUUAUUGAUGCUGUCUGGUUGGUAGCCCUUCAGAGGCUUAGCUUCAGGUAUCUUUCAACUCUUGAUCUGAUUCUCUCCCACCCCCUAUAUUGGGGAAUGUUGUGUAAAGGUGUUUUGUGGUUUGUAGUGGAAUUCAAGCCUCAAAAUCCAAAGCCUCAGAAAAUCUGCGUCGUGUGCAAGCUCAUAGAAGCUAAUGCACAGCAAAUCAGAUUUCACAGUGUAAAGAUGCUGAAAUGCAGAAGUUGAGAUAACCACUUCGAGGCAAGCACACCUGUAUUGCAGUGGACACAAUGGUAAUCUUAGGGAGGUAAGUUGCUUAAGGAUUCUAAUUAACUUGUUAAUUACCAAAAUCUUCAAUAAUUCUUACUGAAGAUUUUGUAAACCUUUUUCAAAAAUAUUUGAUUUCUAGACAUAAUGAACUUUAUGGCAUUUUGUUCACUGAAUACAGAUUCUAUUUAGAUGUGAAGAAUUUCUAGUGCAUGUAUUAAAAAAAAAAAAAAAAAAAAAAAAAAAAAAAGGAAAAUAAAAUCCUUCCCUGUGAAGGUGAUGAGCCACUGGCACAGGUUGCCCAGAGAAGCUGUGGCUGCCCCAUCCCUGGCAGUGUUCAAGGCCAGGUUGGACACAGGGGCUUGGAGCAACCUGCUCUAGUGGAAGCUGUCCCUGCCCAUGGCAGGGCGGGUGGAACCAGACAAGCUUCCAACCCAAACCAUUAUAUGAUUCUAUGUAUUUUGUAUUGAAUCAUGUGUUUGAGAAACAGAAGAAGAAAUCAUGUUGACUAAAACCAGAAAUGAAACAGGUUGGUCUAAUACUUUCCAUAGCAAUGUAAAAUGCAAAAAAGUAAGAAACUACAGUAACAUAUGAUAUUUUUUUAAAGAUUUUUAGUACACUAGAAAUUUAAUAAAAUAUAGUUAGAAUUGAUUCAGAAAUCAGUUUUGAACUGAAACUUCUAGCUCUUCAGAAGUUGGUCUUUUGUAAUUUCUAUUAUGAUUAAACUUUUAAUAGCUCCAGUUAGCUUCUGCAAUCCCUUCAAAUAGGAAAAAAAAUUAAUCUAGAACUCUUCAUCUUAUUGACUGUGGAUUUUACUGUUAAAAAAAUGAAUUGCAGUUAGUGUACAAUUAGUGGCUAGUGGUUACAAUUAGUGGCUGAGCUACCACAAUGUAUUUCAAGAUGCUUAUUUUCACUUCGCAUUUCCUGAAAUGUUUAUAUCUACAAUAAAAUUAUAACUUCACAUAAAAGACAUUGUUGCUUCAUGUUUGCAGGAAAUGGCAAGAAGAAUGGCACAACCACUGUCUUCAUUAUCUUAAGAGGAAAAAAAAGCUUAGAAUGUCUAUCGAGGUUGCUGGAUCUAACCUGAACUGGUCUUGCAUUACAUUGAAAGGAAGCUAAGUCAUGAAAAGACCAUGGUGAUGAUAAGUUUCUCUUGCACUAUCCCAUUAGCUGCUAAUCUAUAAAAUAUUCUUUGGUCAGCAUGUUACAGCAAAUUGUCAUGGAAUGCAAGGAGUACCGUAGCCAUAAAAUGUAUAAGGAUAGAGCAGUAUAUGUGGCCUGGGUGGACGGUGUUUUAUACUGUUCAAUAAACAUCAGUUGAAGUGAC